CCGGAGCAMAGAGAGCUUGCUCUCUGGGUGGCAGUGGCGGACGGGUGAGGAAUACAUCGGAAUCUACUUUUUCGUGGGGGAUAACGUAGGGAAACUUACGCUAAUACCGCAUACGACCUACGGGUGAAAGCAGGGGAUCUUCGGACCUUGCGCGAUUGAAUGAGCCGAUGUCGGAUUAGCUAGUUGGCGGGGUAAAGGCCCACCAAGGCGACGAUCCGUAGCUGGUCUGAGAGGAUGAUCAGCCACACUGGAACUGAGACACGGUCCAGACUCCUACGGGAGGCAGCAGUGGGGAAUAUUGGACAAUGGGCGCAAGCCUGAUCCAGCCAUACCGCCGUGGGUGAAGAAGGCCUUCGGGUUGUAAAGCCCUUUUGUUGGRAAGAAAUCCAGCUGGCUAAUACCCGGUUGGGAUGAACGGUACCCAAAGAAUAAGCACCGGCUAACUUCGUGCCAGCAGCCGCGGUAAUACGAAGGGUGCCAAGCGUUACUCGGAAUUACUGGCCGUAAAGCGUGCGUAGGUGGUCGUUUAAGUCCGUUGUGAAAGCCCUGGCCUCAACCUGGGACUGAGUGGAUACUGGCGACUAGAUGUGGU
rnacentral:rRNA from 1 species